rnacentral:rRNA from 1 species
GGUUGUUGCUGGUUCUCUAGGGAGCAUGUGCACACCUUGUCAUCUUUAUAUCUCCACCUGUGCACUUUUUGUAGACCUUUUCAGGUCUAUGUUGCCUCAUUUUACCCCAAUGUAUGUCAAUAGAAUGUUGUGCCUAUAUAUAAUAUAUACAACUUUCAGCAACGGAUCUCUUGGCUCUCGCAUCGAUGAAGAACGCAGCGAAAUGCGAUAAGUAAUGUGAAUUGCAGAAUUCAGUGAAUCAUCGAAUCUUUGAACGCACCUUGCGCUCCUUGGUAUUCCGAGGAGCAUGCCUGUUUGAGUGUCAUUAAUAUAAUCAACCUUCUCUUGUUUUGAGAAUGGUUUGGAUGUGGGGGAUUUGCUGGCCUCUCUCAAAAGGUUCAGCUCCCCUGAAAUGCAUUAGCAGAACAACCUUUGCUCAUUGGUGUGAUAACUAUCUACGCUUAUGAAUAUGAGGGGCAGUUCAGCUUUCUAACGGUCUUUGGACAAUUCAUCAUUAAUGUGACCUCAAAUCAGGUAGGACUACCCGCUGAACUUAAGCAUAUCAAUAAGGCGGAGGAA